GCUUACGGCCAUACCACGUUGAAAGCACGUCAUCCCGUCCGAUGUGGCAAGUUAAGCAACGGUGGGCGUGGUGAGUACUUGGAUCGGGGACGGCUUGGGAAUCUCAGGUGCCGAAAGCU
rnacentral:rRNA from 1 species